ACCACAGGAUGGCCUCUUGUUGUUGCGCACCUGAUAAUCUAGAUUUGAUUGUAGCCCGCAGGGUGGCCUCCUGUUGUGAGCACUUGAUGAUCUAGAUUGGAUGGAGACCACCGGGUUGCCUCCUGUUGGUAUGGAAAAGAAAAGAGAGAAUGGAAAUACCAUGAGAGGACUGGUCAGUGAGGAUUAGACCAGUUGGCCGUAUGGGGGAUCGGCUCCCUGGUGCACAUGUAUGAGAGGGCGAGCCAUGUGUGAGGACGGCUCGUUGGGGUUUCAGGUGGUGCCACUGACUAAUUUCCACAUGAUGUGAUUAUAUGAAGGUGAUAAUAAUUGUGAUUGCUGUUGUAUUGCCAUUUGUGUGAAAAACUGCAUGAUCAUAUAACUAAAUGGGUGACCACAUUAAAAUAUUUUAGCAUUUGUACGAUUGUGUGGGGUGAGAGAGUUAUCUAAUCCUGCUCACUGAGUUUAGUACUCACCCCCCUUCCAACCUCCCCAGGUAAUAGAUGGAAAGAAGAAUCCUGGAGUCCAAAUGAACGAACGAGAUGUGGAUCGAUAAGAGUAAUAAUUAUUGAAUAUGUAAAUGCAAAGGGUAGCGAAUUAUGGAGUAGAGUUCCGCAAUUGUAUUCCAACUGGGUUGUAAAUGAACAAAUAGAGUAUAAACAUUUAUUAUUUGGAUUGUAUUUUGGAUAUAAUCGUGAAAUAAAUUAUUGGGCCUGAAUCCACAAUUGUGAUUAGAAUGCGAGUUUUAAAUAGUACAGGCUUACUACGGGCUUCGGGGGCCUUAAGCCUACCCAGGUCCUAGUGCCGGUCCGGCCCAUGGAAAUGGGUCGUGACAAUAUUAUGUUGG
rnacentral:lncRNA from 1 species